GACGAACGCUGGCGGCGUGCUUAACACAUGCAAGUCGAACGAUGAAGAAGAGAAACGCGAACUUCGGUUCAAAUUUCACUUCGGAUUAGUGGCAGACGGGUGAGUAACGCGUGAGCAACCUACCUCUUACAAAGGGUUAGCCUCGGGAAACCGUGAUUAAUACCAUAUGACACAUUCAUAAGGCAUCUUAAGAAUGUUAAAGCUACGGCGGUAAGAGAUGGGCUCGCGUCCCAUUAGCUAGUUGGUGAGGUAACGGCCCACCAAGGCGACGAUGGGUAACCGGCCUGAGAGGGUGAACGGUCACAUUGGAACUGAGACACGGUCCAAACUCCUACGGGAGGCAGCAGUGGGGAAUAUUGCACAAUGGAGGGAACUCUGAUGCAGCGACGCCGCGUGGGCGAUGAAGGAAUUCGUUUCGUAAAGCUCUGUUCUAUGGGAAGAAAAGGACUGUACCAUAGGAGAAAGCCCCGGCUAAAUACGU
rnacentral:rRNA from 1 species